UAAUAAGUGUUUUAUGGCACUUUUAAAUCCAUAUCCACCUUGUGUGCAAUGUCGGUCGAUCUUCUUCUAUGAGGAUCGACCAAACAUCAACCUUUAUCUUUUAACUCUUUGUCUGAAAAAUAUUAUGAAUAAACAAUUCAAAAUA
rnacentral:misc_RNA from 1 species